rnacentral:lncRNA from 1 species
UGAAAAUCAUCUUUGAUCUUGGAAUUAAAAGUAAAGCUGGAAAGGAAUUUACAAACAAGAAAAAGAAGAAGUUUGGAAUUGGACUCACAGAAUCUGGGCUUGGAAAUGCCUCAGCCCAGCGUAAGCGGAAUGGAUCCGCCUUUUGGGGAUGCCUUUCGAAGCCACACCUUUUCAGAACAGACUCUGAUGAGCACAGAUCUCUUAGCCAACAGUUCUGAUCCAGAUUUCAUGUAUGAGCUGGAUAGAGAGAUGAAUUAUCAACAGAAUCCUAGAGACAACUUCCUUUCUUUGGAAGACUGCAAAGACAUUGAAAAUCUGGAGACUUUCACAGAUGUCCUGGACAAUGAGGAUGCUUUGACUUCAAACUGGGAACAGUGGGAUACAUACUGUGAAGACUUAACUA